GCACAGCUAGGGCACUGUUAGGACACGUUAUUUUAUCAAUUCUAGGCCAUUGUUAGGGCAGAUUUUUGCUUCAGAAGGAUGCAGUAAUAGCAGGUCUAGGCAUGUGGAGGUAACAUGUAUUCAGAAGCAUGCAAUAGCAGCAGGUGUAGGAGGUGACAUGCGCUUUAAUGGCGUGUAACGUUCCAUGUGUAGCUUCAGUUUGUGUAAAUUUUCUUUAAAUAGAGUAAACUUCCAACGACACUCAACACUCAAAAAUUUAACAUUGAAGAGAGUAUCAGUGUGGAAGAGGAAGAAAAAGUUUCAUUUGAAGAGAGUAUUUUGAAGUUUGCUGC
rnacentral:lncRNA from 1 species